rnacentral:rRNA from 1 species
ACGGGUGGGGAAUACAUCGGAAUCUGCCUAUUUGUGGGGGAUAACGUAGGGAAACUUACGCUAAUACCGCAUACGACCUACGGGUGAAAGCGGAGGACCUUCGGGCUUCGCGCAGAUAGAUGAGCCGAUGUCGGAUUAGCUAGUUGGCGGGGUAAAGGCCCACCAAGGCGACGAUCCGUAGCUGGUCUGAGAGGAUGAUCAGCACACUGGAACUGAGACACGGUCCAGACUCCUACGGGAGGCAGCAGUGGGGAAUAUUGGACAAUGGGCGCAAGCCUGAUCCAGCCAUGCCGCGUGGGUGAAGAAGGCCUUCGGGUUGUAAAGCCCUUUUGUUGGGAAAGAAAAGCAGUCGGUUAAUACCCGGCUGUCAUGACGGUACCCAAAGAAUAAGCACCGGCUAACUUCGUGCCAGCAGCCGCGGUAAUACGAAGGGUGCAAGCGUUACUCGGAAUUACUGGGCGUAAAGCGUGCGUAGGUGGUGGUUUAAGUCAGAUGUGAAAGCCCCGGGCUCAACCUGGGAACUGCAUUUGAUACUGGAUCACUAGAGUGCGGUAGAGGAUAGCGGAAUUCCCGGUGUAGC